AGGUACAAGAAAGAGCCAAGUGUGCUAAGCAUAGUGGUCUUCCUUGGCUGAAAGGAUAAUAUGGACAAAAGCCUCUCUAUGUAAGUUCACUGUGGCCCGAAAAAGUUAAGAGUCUUCCCAAGGAGCCUGAUUUGCAACAGGAGUGCCAAGUAGCCCCAAGAAGCUACUGAAUCUCAAGGCAGCACUUCCUUCUUCCCAGCGCAGUAUUUUGUAUUGUGGGCCAUCUCUCAGGUUUUGUCCAUAGUGAGUGGGAAUUCU
rnacentral:lncRNA from 1 species